UAAACAGUUGAUUGAUAUAGCUACUAGUGGCUUCGAAAAUUUUAUAACAACCACUUGUAUCAAGAAGAUCAUUAAAGCCAUUGCUACAAAUGAACAUCUCGAGUUUCACGAUCGAUGCACAAACAAGCCAAAAGGAGUUAUUGAUCGAAACUAGCCACUCAGAAUAUAAAAAUAGAAUAUCAAGUUUCAUUUGAAUCUGAA
rnacentral:lncRNA from 1 species